rnacentral:rRNA from 1 species
UAGGGAAUCUUCCGCAAUGGACGAAAGUCUGACGGAGCAACGCCGCGUGAACGAUGAAGGUCUUCGGAUCGUAAAGUUCUGUUGCAGGGGAAGAUAAUGACGGUACCCUGUGAGGAAGCCCCGGCUAACUACGUGCCAGCAGCCGCGGUAAUACGUAGGGGGCUAGCGUUAUCCGGAUUUACUGGGCGUAAAGGGUGCGUAGGUGGUCCUUCAAGUCGGUGGUUAAAGGCUACGGCUCAACCGUAGUAAGCCGCCGAAACUGGAGGACUUGAGUGCAGGAGAGGAAAGUGGAAUUCCCAGUGUAGCGGUGAAAUGCGUAGAUAUUGGGAGGAACACCAGUAGCGAAGGCGGCUGUCUGGACUGCAACUGACACUGAGGCACGAAAGCGUGGGUAGCAAACAGG